GUAAAGGGAAAAUUGUUUUUUCCUCCCCUACACAGCUUUUUUGACAAAUAGAAGUUUCAAAUUAAGGGAAAAAGCAGCAUGAAACUAUGCAGCCAUUCUCCCUGUGGACGAUAAAACAUGAGUUGAAGAAGUCACGGGCUUAUGACUGCUGUCAUAUGAAGACUCACAACUGCAGCAAAUCUACUGAAACACUGAUGUUAACCCAAGACAUCACAGGAAUUGAGAUUUUUCCCUUGUUGAG
rnacentral:lncRNA from 1 species